AUGCCCUCGAAGCUGCAAAUAUCCCGAGGCCGCCGCCUCGACAUCCACUGCUCCGUUGCGCCCUGCGCACUCAACCGACACCGCCUUCCGGGGCCGCCGCCCCGACAUGCCACCGCUCACUCUCGAGUAGCAACGCCGCACGAUACAGCAGCCUGCAGCCCACACUGCUCAGGACAACCGCACGUAGACCACGAACGCGCACCACAUCCGGGGCCGCCGCCCCGACAUGCCACCGCUCACCCUCGAGCAGCAACUCCGCACGAUACAGCAGUCCGUAGCCCGCACUGCUCAGGACGAUCGCACGCAAACCACGAACGCCGCACCACAUCCGGGGCCGCCGCCUCGACAUACCGUCCAACCGCCCUCGCUGGACGCGUCGACCGAGCCGACAACCUUGCCACCCACGCAGCUCAAGGUCCUCAGCCAAGCCAUGUCGACAAACAACCCUACCUCCUGGGGCCACCGCCGCACUGCUGCCCGAGGCCGCCGCCUCGGCUCUCAACUGAAGAUCCCGGAGCCGCCGCCCCGGCAUACACUGCCCAUGAAAACGAAAGAGCCCGCACAACAACCAAAGGCUGA
rnacentral:rRNA from 1 species